rnacentral:lncRNA from 1 species
NNNNNNNNNNNNNNNNNNNNNNNNNNNNNNNNNNNNNNNNNNNNNNNNNNNNNNNNNNNNNNCUGCAUCACGUGUGCACACACACACACACACACACACCCCGUGCACACACUGCAUCACGUGUGCACACACACACGCACACCCCGUGCACACGCUGCAUCCUGUGUGCACACGCACACCCUGUGCACACGCUGCAUCAUAUGUGCACACAUCCUGAGCACACGCUGCACCACGUGUGUGCACACACACCCCGUGCACACGGUGCAUCGUCUGUGCGCACACCGCGACAGUCCAUCCACCUGCGGCCUGGUGUGUGCAGAUACACCCCGACAGGCCGUGCACACACGGCAUCACUUGUGCACAUGCACCAACAGGCCGUGCACACGCAGCCUGGUGUGUGCAGAUACACCCUGACAGGCUGUGCAUGAGCAGCCUGGUGUGUGCAGAUACACCCCGACAGGUCACCACCCGCAGCCUGGUGUGCGCACACACCCCAACAGCUCCCCGCAUGCGACCUUACCCACGAGCACACGCCGAGGCACAGUGCACUCCUGCACCUUCCCAACAGGUUACCCACACACAACACCUGCACACACACACACACACACACACACACGCGCGCGCGCACACCCGGCCGGCUGCUGGUGCACAGCCCCACGGUCACACGGACACGCUGCCCACGUCUCUGUCCCCAGCCCGGGUGCCCUGGGCACCCCGGACACCCCGGACACCCCGGACUGCUGCGCAUCCUGUGCGCCCCGGACACCCUGCGCACCCCCGACACCCUGAGCACCCCCAACAGCCCAGACGCUCUGGGCACCCCGGGCUCGUUGUGCACCCCCGACACCCUGAGCACCCCUAGACACCCCCAGACACUUUGGGCACCCCGGGCUCAUUGUGCAUCCCAGACCCCCCCAGACGCCCCGCACGCCCCCAGACCCUUGGGCUCGCGGUGCAUUGCUGUGCACCCCAGAUGCCGCAGGUACCCCAGACCCCCCCAGGCUCGCUGCGCACCCCCGAACGCCUCGCGCACCCCAGACCCCCUGUGCACCUUGGAGAGCCGAGGCUCGCUGUGCAGCCCGGACACCUCAUGCGCCCGGGCCCCCCCGGCUCGCUGUGCAGCCUGUGCACCCCAGAUGUGCCCUGCACCCCAGAUGUGCCCUGCACCCUGUGCACCCCAGACACGCUGUGCACCACCGUGCACCCCAGACGCGCUGUGCACCCCAGAUGCGCCGUGCCCCCCGGACGCUCGGUGCAUCACUGUGCCCCCCGGACACCCCGGACACGCUGUGCAGCCCCGUGCAGCCU